rnacentral:rRNA from 1 species
CCUACGGGAGGCAGCAGUGAGGAAUAUUGGUCAAUUGCCGGGAGGCUGCACCAGCCCAAUCGCGUGAGGGAAUACGGCCCUACGUGUUGUACACCUCUUUUGUCAGGGAGCAAGGUGCAGGUCGGGACCUGCUUUGAGAGUACCUGACGAAAAAGCAUCGGCUAACUCCGUGCCAGCAGCCGCGGUAAUACAGAGGAUGCGAGCGUUAUCCGGAUUUAUUGGGUUUAAAGGGUGCGCAGGCGGCGGCACAAGUCAGCGGUAAAAUCGCGGGGCUGAACCCCGCUCCGCCGUUGAAACUGUGUCCCUUGAGUGCGCGAAGGGUAGGCGGAAUGCGUGGUGGAGCGGUGAAAUGCAUAGAUAUCACGCAGAACUCCGAUCGCGAAGGCAGCCUACCGGCGCGCAACUGACGCUCAUGCACGAAAGCGUGGGUAUCGAACAGGAUUAGAUACCCGAGUAGUC